GACGAGUGGCGAACUGGUGAGUAACACGUGGGUAACCUGCCCUUGAAGUAGGGGAUAACACUUGGAAACAGGUGCUAAUACCGUAUAACAACCAAAACCACCUGGUUUUGGUUUAAAAGAUGGCUUCGGCUAUCACUUUAGGAUGGACCCGCGGCGUAUUAGCUUGUUGGUAAGGUAACGGCCUACCAAGGCAAUGAUACGUAGCCGACCUGAGAGGGUAAUCGGCCACAUUGGGACUGAGACACGGCCCAAACUCCUACGGGAGGCAGCAGUAGGGAAUCUUCCACAAUGGACGAAAGUCUGAUGGAGCAACGCCGCGUGAGUGAUGAAGGGUUUCGGCUCGUAAAACUCUGUUGUUGGAGAAGAACAGGUGUGAGAGUAACUGUUCACAUCUUGACGGUAUCCAACCAGAAAGCCACGGCUAACUACGUGCCAGCAGCCGCGGUAAUACGUAGGUGGCAAGCGUUGUCCGGAUUUAUUGGGCGUAAAGC
rnacentral:rRNA from 1 species